GACGAACGCUGGCGGCGUGCUUAACACAUGCAAGUCGAACGGAAAGGCCCUGCUUUUGUGGGGUGCUCGAGUGGCGAACGGGUGAGUAACACGUGAGUAACCUGCCCUUGACUUUGGGAUAACUUCAGGAAACUGGGGCUAAUACCGGAUAGGAGCUCCUGCUGCAUGGUGGGGGUUGGAAAGUUUCGGCGGUUGGGGAUGGACUCGCGGCUUAUCAGCUUGUUGGUGGGGUAGUGGCUUACCAAGGCUUUGACGGGUAGCCGGCCUGAGAGGGUGACCGGCCCCAUUGGGACUGAGAUACGGCCCAGACUCCUCCGGGAGGAAGCAGUGGGGAAUAUUGCAAAAUGGGCGGAAGCCUGAUGCAGCAACGCCGCGUGCGGGAUGACGGCCUUCGGGUUGUAAACCGCUUUCGCCUGUGACGAAGCGUGAGUGACGGUAAUGGGUAAAGAAGCACCGGCUAACUACGUG
rnacentral:rRNA from 1 species